rnacentral:lncRNA from 1 species
GGAAAGAGAUGUAUUGUGCUUUAAAGUGGUAUGGUGUAGGGAGUAGAACCCGAGGAGUUAUAUUUAUUAUGUUAUGCUUUUAUAGUGUUCAAAAUUUUACACAUAUUUUAUAAUGUUUGUAUUUUGUAAUAAAUCCAGAAGAUUUGGAUUUGCCCUUUCUAGGUGAAUUAUAUUGCAGAAGUGAUAUAGCAGCAUUACAAUUGAGCCUUUUUUGGUUUCCCAGAUAGCAGACCCUACAUUAGCUGAAAUGGGGAAAAACUUGAAGGAGGCAAUGAAGAUGCUGGAGGAUGGUCAGAGAAGAAUAGAGCAGGAGAAAGAAAAUAAACUUUUAUCAGAGGAUAUUCCAGGGCCACUCCAGGGCAGGUAGGUGACAAUGAAGAUUAAAGGUAUAAGUUUUUCUUAAUUCAAGAUUUUACCAUCUCCCUAAUGUGCAAUUUUAAUAUGAAUGAACUCAAAGAAAAUUUAAAUAGUUUUGUGCAGUGUAACAUUAGAAAAUUGAAAUGCCAUUGACAUUGGUAAUGCUGAGCCUACCAGCCUCUUUCUCUUUCCCACUCAAAAGUUAGUACAGCCUCAUGACUCAAAAGUAACUGGAGUAUCAUAUUUAGUUCAUCCUUCAAAUCUGUAAUAUAUUCAUAGACUCUUCUACUGUGAGAAAUAUUUUAAUUUGGUAAUAUCAUUUUUAUAAUACAGCAAAUGAAAAUGUCAUCUGUAAUACUGAUUGGCAGAGUGAUUUGAUUUUUGACAAUAAAAGCAAAUCUAUCAAGUCUUUUUCGUUUGAACUGGGUUGGGGGGAGGGUAGAUGACUGCAAUUUUCACAGGAUGUUUGCAGUCAAUGUGGAAUUAAGGUCCUAGCCCAGCUUUUCUGAGACAAACAUUUUCUUUUAUAACCAGGAAAUGGCAGUUAGGUCAACAGUACAACUCCCUUAAAAUGUAUGUUGACCUAAAGCAGUUGUCAAGGUUACACAGGGGAAAGUCACCAUGUGCUAGUCAGUGUUAUAUUUAACAUACCUGGAUACUAAUAUUUUAAAAUAGUCACCCUCCUCAAAAUAAAAUAGUCACCCCUGCUUGAAUUGUGCUCAUUUAAAGCCCUCUAAACUGGGUGUGGUGGUGCAUGUCUAUAAUUCCAGCACUUGGGAGAGUAAGGUAGGAGGAUUGCCGUGAGUUUGAAGCCAGCAUCGGCUACAUAGUGAGUUUAAGCCAGUCUAGACUACAUAGUGAGACACUGUCUCAAAGAAACAGUAAAGCCCUGUAGGUGUCAAUUGCUUUCUAUAACUCAGCACAGGAAGCAAAUCCUAUAGAUCUCCUUAAAGGGAAGAAAG